UGGUGGAGUGAUUUGUCUGGUUAAUUCCAAUAACGAACGAGACUCUAGCCUGCUAAAUAGACGGGCGAUCCCUUCGUGGGUCGACCCGAUUUGCUUCUUAGAGGGACAAGUGGCGUUCCUAGCCACGCGAAAUUGAGCAAUAACA
rnacentral:rRNA from 1 species